AUUGAACGCUGGCGGCAGGCCUAACACAUGCAAGUCGAGCGGAUGAAGGGAGCUUGCUCCUGGAUUCAGCGGCGGACGGGUGAGUAAUGCCUAGGAAUCUGCCUGGUAGUGGGGGAUAACGUCCGGAAACGGGCGCUAAUACCGCAUACGUCCUGAGGGAGAAAGUGGGGGAUCUUCGGACCUCACGCUAUCAGAUAAGCCUAGGUCGGAUUAGCUAGUUGGUGGGGUAAAGGCCUACCAAGGCGACGAUCCGUAACUGGUCUGAGAGGAUGAUCAGUCACAAUGGAACUGAGACACGGUCCAGAAUCCUACGGGAGGCAGCAGUGGGGAAUAUUGGACAAUGGGCGAAAGCCUGAUCCAGCCAUGCCGCGUGUGUGAAGAAGGUCUUCGGAUUGUAAAGCACUUUAAGUUGGGAGGAAGGGCAGUAAGUUAAUACCUUGCUGUUUUGACGUUACCAACAGAAUAAGCACCGGCUAACUUCGUG
rnacentral:rRNA from 1 species